ensembl:snRNA U6 U6 spliceosomal RNA
GUGCUUACUUCGGCAGCACAAAUACUGAAAUUAAAGCAAGACAGAGAGAAGAUUAGCAUGGCCCCUGCUCAAGGAUGACAUACAAAUUCAUGAAGCAGUUUAUAUUUAA